GGAGGCGGCGCCGGGGCGAGACCUCCAGAGCGCAAGGCCGGCGGGAGAAAAGCUGAGGAAGUGGGAAAUCUGUGGCUGGAGCUCAGCAGAUUGCAACACUUCUACAUCAAGAAAAUGUGGCAAUAAGGCUGCCAAACCCUCCUGUCUUCUGAACCGAAUCCUUGUAGAUUCUGGAUAUCGCACCUUCAUAGGAAUAUUCUGAGAAUAUUUUCUCCUAUUCGCUUCCAGGAGCCGUCGUAGCAGCCGAUUAGGACUGGCUGCUGGUGUGGUGAUGACCUAGAGGGCUUCUCCCAGAGUCUCGCUCUGUGGCCCACGCCUGAGUUCAGUGGUGUGAUUUCCGCUCCCUCCAACCUCUGCCUCCUGGGUUCAAGCGAUUCUCCUGCCUCAGCCUCCUGAGUAGCUGGGAUGACAGGCAUGAACCACCACGCCCCACUGUUUUCGUAUUUUUAGUAGAAACGGGGUUUCACUAUGAUGGCCAGGCUGUGAAUUGCCUAUUCUUAUCUUCUGCACAUUUGUCUAUUGUCGGUCUUUUUCUCGUCGAUUUACAAGCAUUCCUUUUUUCAUUCUGAAUAUUAAUCCAUUGCUUUCUGAUGCUGUAACUAAGUCCUCCUAGUGGUUUGUCUUCUUGGUUAAGCCAGAUGUUAACUUGGAUUUUUCCUGCAUAAAACUGAAGACUCAAGAUGCAUCAAGCACUGUAUACAGAAAAGUGCUGCGUAUCCUACAGAAAGCUACAGACAGUUGGGGGUCAGAAUCAUUCGGAUUGUUUCAAGUUUGGGGCUAUUAUAAAUAAAGCUGCUAUAAACGUUUGCA
rnacentral:lncRNA from 1 species